rnacentral:lncRNA from 1 species
UUCAAUGUAAUGUAUCGCCCCCCUUUCUAGGAUACCUCCCGGUGGACCUGAGAUGUUCCUGGGCUGCUUUGAGGUUUCGUCGAUGGUGGAUUUAGGGAUGCUCUGAGGCUGCUUUGGCGGGUCAGGGGUAUCAUCAGUGCUUAGUCUGAUAAGUCUAGUCCAUUAAUGUUCCUGUUAUUAUGCUUCAAAAAUCCUCUUCUGUCCUUUGAUGGUGUAAGUGCUUAGUUGACACGACUUCCUCUUAACACUUGCACACAACACUCUAUUCUGGUAGAACAACACUAAGUAGCAAAAGAUCUUUUCCCCUACAUAUUUGAAAGGUACUUCUAUGGGUCGGACCGUGGUGGCUCGUGGACCUGACUGGUUUCCAACCCAUGCCAGCUUGUCUAGACCUGGGUACCAUCACCCUUCCAAUCUUUUUCUUUAUAUAGUCAAUAUUCUCGACUGAUAAAUA